rnacentral:rRNA from 1 species
CCCUUAGAUGUUCUGGGCUGCACGCGCGCUACACUGACACACUCAACGGGUUCCUGACUUUAAAGAGUCGGGUAAUCAUGUGAGCGUGUGUCGUGAUGGGGAUAGAAUAUUGUAAUUAUUACUCUUGAACGAGGAAUUCCUAGUAAUCGCUGUUCAUCAGACAGAGAUGCAUACGUCCCUGCCCUUUGUACACACCGCCCGUCGCUCCUACCGAUUGGGUGAUCCGGUGAAUGAUUCGGACUGACUUAGUGCUAGCUACUAGUGCUAUGUCAGAAAGUUUUGUAAAUCUGAUUACUUGGAGGAAGGAGAAGUCGUANCA